rnacentral:rRNA from 1 species
CCUACGGGAGGCAGCAGUGGGGAAUAUUGCACAAUGGGGGAAACCCUGAUGCAGCGACGCCGCGUGAGUGAAGAAGUAUCUCGGUACGUAAAGCUCUAUUAGCAGGGAAGAAAAUGACGGUACCUGACUAAGAAGCCCCGGCUAACUACGUGCCAGCAGCCGCGGUAAUACGUAGGGGGCAAGCGUUAUCCGGAUUUACUGGGUGUAAAGGGAGCGUAGACGGCAGCACAAGUCUGGAGUGAACUCCCGGGGCUUAACCCCGGAACUGCUUUGGAAACUGUGCGGCGGGAGUGCAGGAGGGGUAGGCGGAAUUCCUGGUGUAGCGGUGAAAUGCGUAGAUAUUAGGAAGAACACCGGUGGCGAAGGCAGCUUACUGGACUGUAACUGACGUUGAGGCUCGAAAGCGUGGGGAGCAAACAGGAUUAGAUACCCCAGUAGUC